rnacentral:rRNA from 1 species
ACCAGGCCUUGACAUGCAGAGAACUUCCAGAGAUGGAUUGGUGCCUUCGGGAACUCUGACACAGGUGCUGCAUGGCUGUCGUCAACUCGUGUCGUGAGAUGUUGGGUUAAGUCCCGUAACGAGCGCAACCCUUGUCCUUAGUUACCAGCACGUUAUGGUGGGCACUCUAAGGAGACUGCCGGUGACAAACCGGAGGAAGGUGGGGAUGACGUCAAGUCAUCAUGGCCCUUACGGCCUGGGCUACACACGUGCUACAAUGGUCGGUACAAAGGGUUGCCAAGCCGCGAGGUGGAGCUAAUCCCAUAAAACCGAUCGUAGUCCGGAUCGCAGUCUGCAACUCGACUGCGUGAAGUCGGAAUCGCUAGUAAUCGUGAAUCAGAAUGUCACGGUGAAUACGUUCCGGCCUU